UUGAUUUUCCUCUUCAAUCAUGAUUCAUGUUUCCUCUUAACCGUAAAUUGAAGGUCGGAACCCUAAAUUGGUGAAUCUACAGCUAUAGAUGCUCUAUCGUGUGAACACUCAUUUGAACAUAGAAUUGUGAUCUUGAAAAAAAUAGUGGAAGAGAUUUUGGAUGUGGAGCAAACAGUUCUUUAUGGAUGGUGAUGUUAUCCUCGAUGUUUCUUUGUUGGUGUUCUAAAACUUCAUCGAAUAAGUAUGUGGCAACUGAGCUGACAUCUGACAUAGU